UGUCCCGCGUAUGUACUUGUUAAGCCUUUAAGAGAAAAGUUUACAACUUAAGGAAUUAUAACAAAGAAGUAACACAUAAUAAGUUUACCUUAUUUAGUGUGUAUCAAUCGAGUUUCUGACCUAUCAGCUUUUGAUGUUAGGGUAUUGGCCUAACAUGGCUAUGACGGGUAACGGGGAAUUAGAGUUCGAUUCCGGAGAGGGAGCCUGAGAAAUAGCUACCACAUCUAAGGAAGGCAGCAGGCGCGUAAAUUACCCAAUUCUAAAGAAGAGAGGUAGUGACAAGAAAUAACAAUACAAGGCCAUUUCAUGGUUUUGUAAUUGGAAUGAUGGGAAUUUAAAACCUUCCCAAAAUUCAAUUGGAGGGCAAGUCUGGUGCCAGCAGCCGCGGUAAUUCCAGCUCCAAUAGCGUAUAUUAAAAUUGUUGCAGUUAAAACGCUCGUAGUUGAAUUUCAAAGAAUCAAUAUUUUAAGUAAUGCUUUUGGUUUAAGAUGCUUAGGCAAUACAACGUAUCUGCUCUUUGCAUUCCUUAUCCAAAAUGUGUUCUUAUUAUAAAAAGGAUUCUUUUUAAAAUCUCCUUUACUUUCUUGUACUGGAGAUUUUGUUACUUUGAGUAAAUUAGAGUGUUCAAAGCAAACAGUUAAAGCAUUUUACUGCGUUUGAAUACUACAGCAUGGAAUAACAAAAUUGAACAAGUCAAAAUUCUGUUCCUUUUUCUUAUUUUGGCU
rnacentral:rRNA from 1 species